rnacentral:rRNA from 1 species
UUGAACUGAAGAGUUUGAUCCUGGCUCAGAUUGAACGCUGGCGGCAUGCCUUACACAUGCAAGUCGAACGGCAGCACGGGCUUCGGCCUGGUGGCGAGUGGCGAACGGGUGAGUAAUACAUCGGAACAUGUCCUGUAGUGGGGGAUAGCCCGGCGAAAGCCGGAUUAAUACCGCAUACGAUCCACGGAUGAAAGCGGGGGACCUUCGGGCCUCGCGCUAUAGGGUUGGCCGAUGGCUGAUUAGCUAG